rnacentral:tRNA from 1 species
UCGCCGUUGGCGGCUCCGGCCUGCUCCCGCUCCGGGCGGGGGCCCAGGGCGCGGCCCCGGCGGCGGCGUCCGGCGCGUUGACGGUGGU